rnacentral:rRNA from 1 species
CCCCCCCCCCCCCCCCCACAAAUAAAAGGGGAGAUGUAGGGGGCGAAUUUUUUUUUUUUUUUUUAAAAGGAAAAAACCCCCCCCCCCCCCCCCCGGGGGCCCCCAGACUCCUACGGGAGGCAGCAGUAGGGAAUCUUCCGCAAUGGACGAAAGUCUGACGGAGCAACGCCGCGUGAGUGAAGAAGGUUUUCGGAUCGUAAAGCUCUGUUGUUAGGGAAGAACAAGUACGGGAGUAACUGUCCGUACCUUGACGGUACCUAACCAGAAAGCCACGGCUAACUACGUGCCAGCAGCCGCGGUAAUACGUAGGUGGCAAGCGUUGUCCGGAAUUAUUGGGCGUAAAGCGCGCGCAGGCGGCUUCUUAAGUCUGAUGUGAAAGCCCACGGCUCAACCGUGGAGGGUCAUUGGAAACUGGGAGGCUUGAGUGCAGAAGAGGAGAGCGGAAUUCCACGUGUAGCGGUGAAAUGCGUAGAGAUGUGGAGGAACACCAGUGGCGAAGGCGGCUCUCUGGUCUGUAACUGACGCUGAAGGCGCGAAAGCGUGGGGAAGCGAACAGGAUUAGAUACCCUUGGUAGUCCACGCCGUAAACGAUGAGUGCUAAGUGUUGGAGGGUUUCCGCCCUUCAGUGCUGCAGCUAACGCAUUAAGCACUCCGCCUGGGGAGUACGGUCGCAAGACUGAAACUCAAAGGAAUUGACGGGGGCCCGCACAAGCGGUGGAGCAUGUGGUUUAAUUCGAAGCAACGCGAAGAACCUUACCAGGUCUUGACAUCCCGCUGACCGGUCUGGAGACAGAUCUUUCCCUUCGGGGACAGCGGUGACAGGUGGUGCAUGGUUGUCGUCAGCUCGUGUCGUGAGAUGUUGGGUUAAGUCCCGCAACGAGCGCAACCCUUGAUCUUAGUUGCCAGCAUUCAGUUGGGCACUCUAAGGUGACUGCCGGUGACAAACCGGAGGAAGGUGGGGAUGACGUCAAAUCAUCAUGCCCCUUAUGACCUGGGCUACACACGUGCUACAAUGGAUGGUACAAAGGGCUGCAAGACCGCAAGGUUUAGCCAAUCCCAUAAAACCAUUCUCAGUUCGGAUUGCAGGCUGCAACUCGCCUGCAUGAAGCCGGAAUCGCUAGUAAUCGCGGAUCAGCAUGCCGCGGUGAAUACGUUCCCGGGCCUUGUACACACCGCCCGUCACACCACGAGAGUUUGCAACACCCGAAGUCGGUGGGGUAACCCUUACGGGAGCCAGCCGCCUAAGGUGGGGCAGAUGAUUGGGGUGA